AGAGUUUGAUCCUGGCUCAGAUUGAAGACGCUGGCGGCGUGCCUAACACAUGCAAGUCGAGCGGUAACAGGUGUAGCAAUACAUGCUGACGAGCGGCGAACGGGUGAGUAUGCUUCGGAAUCUGCCCAAUGGUGGGGAAUAACCAGCCGAAAGGUUGGCUAAUACCGCAUAAGUCCUACGGGAGAAAGCAGGGGAUCGUAAGACCUUGCGCCGAUGGACGAGCCGAAGUCGGAUUAGCUGGUUGGUAGGGUAACGGCCUACCAAGGCGACGAUCCGUAGCUGGUCUGAGAGGACGACCGCCACACUGGGACUGAGACACGGCCCAGACUCCUACGGGAGGCAGCAGUGGGGAAUAUUGGACAAUGGGGGAAACCCUGAUCCAGCGACGCCGCGUGUGUGAAGAAGGCCUGCG
rnacentral:rRNA from 1 species